rnacentral:pre_miRNA from 1 species
UGAGGUAGUAGGUUGUAUAGUUUCAGGGUCACACCCAAACUGGGAGUUAACUGUACAAUCUACUCUCUUUC